rnacentral:rRNA from 1 species
GACGAACGCUGGCGGCGUGCUUAACACAUGCAAGUCGAGCGGUAAGGCCCUUUCGGGGGUACACGAGCGGCGAACGGGUGAGUAACACGUGGGUGACCUGCCCUCAGCUCUGGGAUAAGCCUGGGAAACCGGGUCUAAUACCGGAUAUGACUCCAUGACGCAUGUUGUGGGGUGGAAAGCCUUGUGCGGCUGAGGAUGGCCCGCGGCCUAUCAGCUUGUUGGUGGGGUGAUGGCCUACCAAGGCGACGACGGGUAGCCGGCCUGAGAGGGCGACCGGCCACACUGGGACUGAGACACGGCCCAGACUCCUACGGGAGGCAGCAGUGGGGAAUCUUGCGCAAUGGGCGAAAGCCUGACGCAGCGACGCCGCGUGAGGGAUGACGGGCC